rnacentral:rRNA from 1 species
UACGUAGGGGGCUAGCGUUGUCCGGAAUCAUUGGGCGUAAAGAGCUCGUAGGCGGCUUGGCAAGUCGGGUGUGAAACCUCCAGGCUCAACCUGGAGACGCCACUCGAUACUGCCAUGGCUAGAGUCCGGUAGGGGACCACGGAAUUCCUGGUGUAGCGGUGAAAUGCGCAGAUAUCAGGAGGAACACCGGUGGCGAAGGCGGUGGUCUGGGCCGGCACUGACGCUGAGGAGCGAAAGCGUGGGUAGCAAACAGG